CCCGACACUACCGGGGGGAAUAACCCACGAGGACCACUCCACCAGGCAGCAGGCACCAACUUCGCUUGACUCGCUUCGCCCCAAACGGCGAUAGCCAACCGCGAUCGAUAGAUGUUCAAGCGCACCGGCGGCAGUCGACGAAGGGUGAGCCCAUGUACUCAAGCAGCACGCCGUAGCUGAUCUCCCCAUCGCCGAUUUUCAGGUCACCCGAUUGAUAUGUGAUGGAGCUGGGCACCGGACAUGUCGCCAAGUGCCCAAGUUAUGUACUACGGUAGCCACUACAACAAGCCAAGAAAAUUCCGCCCCGCACCAGCCUCCACCAGAAAUCAAUACUGCACAUAUAUGUUGUAGGAAGCCAUGAACUUCGUAUUGAAUACCUUCGAAAUAGGACGAGGACAAAGAUAAAGAUAUUAAGCUCCGUCGCAACAGCAUAUAGAAACCAAGGUGAGUAGUGACGGGAUAAGAUGUUCACAAUUUCGUGUCCAAAAUAUUAUAGGUAGAAGUCAAUAUUGCCCUCGCAGUGUUUUGUAAAUCACAUGUACAGAUCUUACGGGUAUACUUGUAAUUUCAUACGAAUGUAUGAUCUACUAUAAAUAAAUGAACAGUGUCAUGUAUAAAGUACCUUUUGAAAGGCUGGAUAACAGAUCCGUGUAAUCUU